rnacentral:tRNA from 1 species
GCGCCUGUAGCUCAGUUGGAUAGAGUAGUGGCCUUCGAAGCCAUUGGUUGGGAGUUCGAGUCUCUCCAGGCGCGCCA